rnacentral:rRNA from 1 species
UGGGGAAUAUUGGACAAUGGGCGAAAGCCUGAUCCAGCCAUGCCGCGUGUGUGAAGAAGGUCUUCGGAUUGUAAAGCACUUUAAGUUGGGAGGAAGGGCAUUAACCUAAUACGUUAGUGUUUUGACGUUACCGACAGAAUAAGCACCGGCUAACUCUGUGCCAGCAGCCGCGGUAAUACAGAGGGUGCAAGCGUUAAUCGGAAUUACUGGGCGUAAAGCGCGCGUAGGUGGUUUGUUAAGUUGGAUUUGAAAUCCCCGGGCUCAACCUGGGAACUGCAUUCAAAACUGACUGACUAGAGUAUGGUAGAGGGUGGUGGAAUUUCCUGUGUAGCGGUGAAAUGCGUAGAUAUAGGAAGGAACACCAGUGGCGAAGGCGACCACCCGGACUAAUACUGACACUGAGGUGCGAAAGCGUGGGGAGCAAACA